rnacentral:tRNA from 1 species
GUACCCGUAGCUCAGGGGAGAGAGCGUUCGCCUCCGGAGCGAAAGGUCGCGCGUUCAAUUCGCGCCGGGUACG